UUGCAGCAGUCGCGAAUUUUUCUCAAUGGGGGAAACCCUGAAGGAGCGACGCCGCGUGGAGGACUGAAGGCUUUCGGGUUGUAAACUCCUGUCAUUUGAGAACAAGUGGGACGCAGUAACUACGCGUCCCUUGAUAGUAUCAGAAGAGGAAGAGACGGCUAACUCUGUGCCAGCAGCCGCGGUAAUACAGAGGUCUCAAGCGUUGUUCGGAUUCAUUGGGCGUAAAGGGUGCGUAGGUGGCGCGCUAAGUCAGGUGUGAAAUCUCGGGGCUUAACUCCGAAACUGCAUUUGAUACUGGCGUGCUUGAGGACUGGAGAGGAGACUGGAAUUCAUGGUGUAGCAGUGAAAUGCGUAGAGAUCAUGAGGAAG
rnacentral:rRNA from 1 species